UACAGGGGGUGCAAACGUUGCUCGGAAUUAUUGGGCGUAAAGCGCACGUAGGCGGUUUGUUAUGUCGGAUGUGAAAGCCCUUGGCUCAACUGAGGAAGUGCAUCCGAAACUGGCAAGCUAGAGUAUGUAAGAGGGUCGCGGAAUUCCCGGUGUAGAGGUGAAAUUCGUAGAUAUCGGGAGGAACACCGGUGGCGAAGGCGGUUCUCUGGGCCUUACCUGACGCUGAGGAGCGAAAGCGUGGGGAGCGAACAGG
rnacentral:rRNA from 1 species